rnacentral:lncRNA from 1 species
AAACUGGGGGUUUCUCUUCAAAGCCAGCUGGUCUGGCUUUAUUCUACAGGAAUUUUUUUUACCUGUCAGGGUUUGGACAACAAAGCCCUCAGCAGGUGCUGACGGGUACAACUUCCUGGAGAAGCAGAAAGGCACUGAGAAAACAUCUUGCUCUGUUGCUCAGGCUGGAGCGCAAUGGUGCCAUCGUAGCUUACUGUAACCUUGAACGUCUGUGCUCAAGCAAUCUUCCUGCCUCAGCCUCCUGAGUAGCUGGGACUACAGAGACAGGGUCUUGUUCUAUUGUCCAAGCUGGUCUUGAAUUCCUGACCUCAAGCAAUCCUCCUGCCUCUGCCUCCCAAAGCACUGGGAUUAUUACAGGUAUGAGCCACCGUGCUGGGCCAUCAUGCUUACUCUUCGGAGGGAGAAGUGAAGUAUCUGAACGCCUCAGCCUGAGAAUGGGUCAUUUGCAAAGUAAAUAAAGGCAAAGCCAAAUGUCAGCACAACAAGCAA